rnacentral:misc_RNA from 1 species
GAUGAAGAACGCAGCGAAAUGCGAUACUUGGUGUGAAUUGCAGAAUCCCGUGAACCAUCGAGUCUUUGAACGCAAGUUGCGCCCGAAGCCACUAGGCCGAGGGCACGCCUGCCUGGGCGUCACACGUCGUUGCCCCCCCAUCUACUCCUUCGGGAUUGCGGGGGGGCGGAUGAUGGCCUCCCGUGCGCCUAGCCGCGCGGUUGGCAUAAAUACCAAGUCCUCGGCGACGCACGCCACGACAAUCGGUGGUUGCGAAACCUCGGUUGCCCGUCGUGUGCGUUCGUCGCGCAUCGAGGGCUCGAAAAAAUGCUCGGCUCCGGCUGGGCUUUCAACGCGACCCCAGGUCAGGCGGGGUUACCCGCUGAAUUUAAGCAUAUCAAUAAGCGGAGG